GACGGGGGCCCGCACAAGCGGAGGAACAUGUGGUUUAAUUCGAUGAUACGCGAGGAACCUUACCCGGGCUUGAACUGCAUAUGACAUAUUGAGAGAUCAUUAUUCCCUUCGGGGCAUAUGUGGAGGUGCUGCAUGGUUGUCGUCAGCUCGUGCCGUGAGGUGUCGGCUUAAGUGCCAUAACGAGCGCAACCCCUUCCUUCAGUUGCCAUCGGGUCAUGCCGGGCACUCUGUAGGGACUGCCGCCGUAAGGUGUGAGGAAGGCGGGGAUGACGUCAAAUCAGCACGGCCCUUACGUCCGGGGCUACACACGUGUUACAAUGGGGGGUACAGCGGGAUGCCACCGCGCAAGCGGGCGCCGAUCCUGAAAUCCCUCCGUAGUUCGGAUUGGGGUCUGCAACCCGACCCCAUGAAGCUGGAUUCGCUAGUAAUCGCGCAUCAGCCAUGGCGCGGUGAAUACGUUCCCGGGCCUUGUACACACCGCCCGUCAAGCCAUGAAAGCCGGGAGUACCUGAAGUGCGUAGGGUGAAGGAGCGCCCUAGGUUGAGACCGGUG
rnacentral:rRNA from 1 species